AUUGAACGCUGGCGGCAGGCCUAACACAUGCAAGUCGAGCGAGCGGCGGACGGGUGAGUAUUGUAUGGGGACUGCCCGAUAGAGGGGGGUAACUACUCGAGAAGGUAGAGAAUACCGCAUACUAUCGGAGAACGCACAUGGGAUUAGCUAGUAGGUGAGGUAAUGGCUCACCAAGGCGACGAUCCCUAGCGGGUCUGAGAGGAUGAUCAGCCACACUGGGACUGAGACACGGCCCAGACUCCGACGGAGGCAGCAGUGGGGAAUAUUGCGCAAGGGGCUCAAGCCUGAGGCAGCCAUGCCGCGUGAAUGAAGAAGGCCCUAGGGUUGUAAAGUACUUUCAGUCGGGAGGCGUUACCGACAGAAGAAGCACCGGCUAACUCCGUGCCAGCAGCCGCGGUAAUUC
rnacentral:rRNA from 1 species